rnacentral:rRNA from 1 species
UAUUCGAGAGUUUGAUCCUGGCUCAGGACGAACGCUGGCGGCGUGCUUAACACAUGCAAGUUGAACG